UCACGUUACUUCGUUGUUAGCAAGCUAAUUAAUUUUCCACAAAAUAAAAACAGAUAACAUGGUUGGGACACGGGACAUGUCAUUAUUAGGUUGGUUGCAGUUGACCCGUUCUCCACCUUCACUUCAAAAUACCAUACAAAAAAGGCAGGUGAAGUAAUUUGGCCAUUUGGGUAACCUAUUAAUUAAUACAGUUUCGACUUAAAAGACGCUAAAUAUUUAGGCUGAUGCAAUACGGGUCUGUCAGGUUUCUUUGAUCCAUGAUCAUCUUUUUUUCUUCCAUACUAAAUGACCUUAAACGAGAUACGUUUACGAAAAAAAUAAUAAUAAAAAAAUACAUGGCUCAUUCUACAUGCAUUAUAGUCAAUUCAAACCAUACAAAGACUCCAACUACAAACCACAUAUAUAUAAUAUAUAUGCACCAUCAUGAUCAUGUAUACACCAUACUUACAUGCAUUGACGUUAUAAUAAAAUGAAGGUCUAAUCAUAUAAAUGUUACGCCUGUUUCUGGUAUUAUUUAAAAUCAUAAUUUAUUUAUUUUUGUAUAGAAACUCGACAAGUUGGAGGCCCCAAACUGGUCGAGUAGGGAUGUAAUUAGGACGCAAGUUAAGAAGUCUACUCGACGAGUUGAGAACCCUCAACUCGACGAAUAGACUGACAAAAUGAAACCCUAAUUUUCAAGGUUUUGCACCCUAUUUAAAUAUCUUAAUCCCCAUAAGCUGACCUCAUUUCCAACCUCCAUUGUCACAAACCCUAGCCUUAAAACCCUAAUUCACUUUUGAGAGUUUUGAGCCAAUUUUUGUCUAUUCCUGGUGAUUUUGAAGAAGAAGGUACUUGAAGAAGGAGCAAUUAAGGACGUGUAGGAGGAGAGUAGAUCCAGAAGUUGGGCUUCAUUUCUGGUUCAUCUGAGGUACUUCCUCUUCGAAUGGAAAGGAGUCAGCAUGAUCGCAGCGCAUCACACUAAGUUUUUCGUACAUGAGAUCUUUGGGAGUUAUACUCUGAUGUUGUUUUAUCAUGACAUGUUUUCACUAUUGAUAUAUUGGUUUUGAUAUGAGUUGAUGCUAUAGAUGUUUUCAGACAAAUGGUUUUAUAAUUAUUAAAUUUAAAAUGAA